GCAGGCAGAGCUGGAGCUGAAGUCCAGAGUUGACAAACUACACCCGCAGGAAAAUCCUACCUGCCGCUUGUUGUGUGCUUCACAGGCUUUCUGACCAGAGGCAAAAAUCUUCUAUUUUGGAACUUGCCCAUGCAGACCUGCUUUAAAGAAGAGGUCUGAAUAUAUAAAGAAAAUUAGUUACAGGAAUGGGAUGUAACUGUGGAUGUUUUAUUCAUUCCUAAGCCAACACUUAUGGAAGGAACUAUUCCAUAAAGAAAGCCCUGCACUUGGGACCUGAACCAGUGAUAAAGAAUUCAAGAAUCCCCACCAACCACACCUAGCUGUGCUUGUGGGUCACAUCCAGUAGGGGACUUAUGCUUGUAAAGGCAGUGACAAACCCUGUGAGAAGUACCCGUGGUUUUGUGGUCAUUCAGAGAAGCAAGCUUCCAGCUCUACCUUGUGGGAAUCAGCUAAGUUUAUGCUCUAGAAAAGAGGGGAGCUGAAUCUUGGAGAGUGAGAAGACGGUCACUGGCCAGAAAUGCCAGGACCAGCCUUAUGGGCACUGAACAGAUGGCAGGGCAUUCGCUAAGCUCAGAGCUGUCAAAGGUCACACAUUCCAUCAGAUCUUCUCAUCACUUUAGGGCGAGAAGAAACCCUUGAGAUCUCAGAGAAAGAAGAGGAAACACGGCCUCUGUUUAUUGAAUAACUGUGUGUAUUAAAAAUCAAACACAACUACUUGAUUAUUCUCCAUUCCAACUUCUUCCCCUUCCCUGAGUUACACACACCUCUUGCCAAUUUAUGACGUGUCGACAGAGUUAUUAUCUAGCGAAAAUUACCACCACCCACGCUGGGAAUCUCUGCUGUUAUAAAACAAAAGCAAACGCCAAAUCGGGAGGAGAAAGAGUGCAUAUGAGAGAGGGCCUUUUGCAUCUCUUUUCUGACAAUGUUCUUUUUAUGCUAAUAUCUCAUAGUUUCC